rnacentral:lncRNA from 1 species
CAAACUCGUACUCCACCGUAAAGCUGAUCGAACCUUUCUCUUGCAUCCCUAAGAAAAGGCCAAAGCAGUGGAAUAAACUGUGUUGAUCCAGGUUGCAGUGAGCCGAGAGGAAGAAUCCCUGCCCGCCCAAGUGAAAUGCCUGGGAGUAGACCCGGCCAGAAGGGAACAACUUGGCACACUCGUCCCUGGUCAGGUCCAGGUAGACGAUGCAUUGUGGGUGAGGCCUUUCAAAUUCCACCACCUUCAGCGGACGGUAUUUGUAAGCCCUCUCUGUAAACCGCUUG